AUGAACGCUGGCGGCGCGCCCAACACAUGCAAGUCGAACGAUUAAAGCACCUUCGGGUGUGUAUAAAGUGGCGAACGGCUGAGUAACACGUGGGCAACCUGCCCCUUUCAUUGGGAUAGCCACGGGAAACCGUGGAUAAUACCGAAUACUUCGAGACUUCCGCAUGGAAGACUCGAGAAAGCUCCGGCGGAGAGGGAUGGGCCCGCGGCCUGUUAGCUUGUUGGUGGGGUAACGGCCUACCAAGGCAAUGAUGGGUAGCUGGGUUGAGAGACCGACCAGCCAGAUUGGGACUGAGACACGGCCCAGACUCCUACGGGAGGCAGCAGUGGGGAAUCUUGCACAAUGGGCGAAAGCCUGAUGCAGCGACGCCGCGUGCGGGAUGAAGGCCUUCGGGUUGUAAACCGCUUUCAGCAGGGACGAGGCGAAAGUGACGGUACCUGCAGAAGAAGCCCCGGCUAACUACGUG
rnacentral:rRNA from 1 species